rnacentral:lncRNA from 1 species
CUAUUUUGUGUAUAUUUGGAUCGACAAUGAAUUUGUCAAAAUCAAUGCGAUAUAACAUGAUUUUAUUGAUGUUUUAAGGUGUAGCUUUUAUCAAAUUUGAAGUAGUUCUAACAAUCCCACAGCCAACAAAAAUGCACCUUGUUUGUUUGCUGUUAACCAACUUACUUCAUGGUAGUGCCAUGAGAAUCAAAACUAUAGGCAUGGACCACUUGCCACUAAUGAGUAGUUAUGGUAUACAGAUAAUUCUCUUUAGCUGCCAGGUUUUGUUAAGCUUCAUGAAAGCAGAAAACAUGUGUGGAGAUUUACCCUUUCAUGAUAAAUACAUGGGUUGAGUCUAGCUGGUUUUUUCAUUAUAAGUUUUAUGUUUCACAUUUUCUUUG